rnacentral:rRNA from 1 species
CUGGGCGAGGUGAAGGUAAUAACCGGAUCCGUGCUCGGUCCCGUGCCUUGGCCUCCCGCGGAUCUGCCUCGCUGCGAGGCUUCCGUGACGGCUUGCCGACGCGGUCGUCCUCUUCGGCCGCUAUUUAACGGUCAGCUCAGAACUGGCACGGACUGGGGGAAUCCGACUGUCUAAUUAAAACAAAGCAUUGCGAUGGCCCUAGCGGGUGUUGACGCAAUGUGAUUUCUGCCCAGUGCUCUGAAUGUCAACGUGAAGAAAUUCAAGCAAGCGCGGGUAAACGGCGGGAGUAACUAUGACUCUCUUAAGAAAGGGUCAAGAAAGGACGGGUUGCUUCGGGGGCUCUCGGUUGUCAAUCCGUUAGUCCCCAACACGCAGCAAAUAUGGAAAGUACAACCAAAAGAAUGUAUCCACGCCCGGGUUCUCGGAUGGCCCGGGCACUGCGUGUUAGUGAGAGCGAGUGUGUUGUGCCUGGUAGUAGUGGGCCGGCCAAUGCACAGGUGGAGGAAGUUCCCACGAGUGCUCAUAGCGUAGGCAGAACAACUGCCAAUGAACUGUUUCGUUGCGAACAUUGCGACAGGGAGUUCAAUACCAAGCGUGGGCUUGGUGUGCACGUUAGAUUUGCACAUAAAGAAGCUGCCAACGACCUGAUCGACGUAGAAAGGGUUAGACCCCGUUGGCCUGAGGAGGAGGUGCGACUGAUGGCGCGGGCUGAGGCUACGGCCACCUUAGCGGGGGUUCGGUACAUGAAUCAACACCUUUCUGUACUGUUCCCUAAUAGGUCUCUUGAAGGCAUCAAGGGUAAACGGCGCAAUGCUGCUUACCAAGCGAUGGUUCUUGAGUUCCGCCAACAGGAAUUAGAUUCAAAUUCUGAUUCUGAUGACGGCUUGGUGGCGGAUGCGACAAUGACACGAGUCGCCCGCACACCUGACCGGCCUUCAGUUGCCAUCGAACAACAAACACCCCAGUCUCCAAUACUCCAUGACCAAGAUGGUCUUGGAAGAGUGCGCUUAGCGAUCGCGACUUUGUUAGAGUCAACUGCGCGCUAUCGUAUCUAUGAGGCUGGCACUCUGCGGGAAGUCGCACGAGAUGCUCUGGCGGGGGAGAGAGUAGUUGACCGAUUGAAUGAUUGGCUCGCUGCGAUCUUCCCUGCUGGUCGGGUGAACCCUCCCAGACCCAAUCGAAAUCGAUCAGUGCGUCCUCCGGCAAAUGAGAAUAGGGAGCAAAGACGCAAGAGAGAGUUCGCAGCAAUGCAGAACCUCUAUCGAACUAACUUGCGUGCCUGUCUCGGUAAUAUACUCGAUGGAGACAUAACGCGGGAAAGGCCUUCUGGCAUCAGUUUUGCGCAGUACUGGCAGCCUCUUAUUGAGACGGUCAGUGCAGCUGAUGGCCAUAUGGAGGACCUCCGCCGGUCUGCCACUGGGUCGAGACAGAGUUUGAUCAGAGCCAGGUUGAGCAAUGGCCCUUCUACAUCAGGGUACGGCGUUGGGGCCGGCGUAAGCCGUGCCGCUGAUAAGUCCUCGCUCUGGGAUCCGAUCACGACAACCGAGGUUGUCCGGAUUCCUGUUAAAACUGGCUCUGCCCCUGGAUUGGACAAAAUAACACCUAGGGCCUGGAAAGCCGUUCCGGCGGAUCUACGGGCCCUGUUGUUCAAUCUAAUGCUCCUUGCAAGAGAGGUCCCUUCGUCGAUCUCCUCUUCCAGGACGGUCUUUCUGGAGAAAGGUAGUAUGCCAGAACAUCCGGCACCUUCUGACUACCGGCCUCUAAGUAUAGGCUCUGUCGUGUUGAGGCAGUUUCACAAGAUUUUAGGCAGGAGGUUGGCUGCUCUUGACAUAUUCGAUGAGAGGCAAAGAGGCUUCCGGCCCGUCGAUGGCGUCUGCGAAAACGUAGAAGUGCUGUCUGCGGUGCUGGCGGACGCUCGGCGCCGAUGUCGAACGGUACAUAUGGCGUGCGUUGACCUGUCGAAGGCAUUCGACACGGUCUCGCACGGUGCGAUCCAUCUUGCACUGGAGGAGGCGGGUCUCCCGCUCUCCUUCAGAGAGUACAUUAGAGCAUGCUACUCCAAUGCUACGACAGCGCUUCAGCUGCCGGAUCUUUGUGAGACGCCAAGAAUACAGCUGGGUAGAGGCGUGAAGCAAGGCGAUCCUCUGUCGCCCCUACUGUUCAAUCUGGUCGUAGACCGAGCUUUAGGGGUUCUCUCGGAGGAUGUUGGAUAUAGGCUUAAUGGCGAACUAAUUGGCGCCCUGGCUUACGCUGACGACAUUGUACUCCUAGCGUCGACCCGUAACGGUCUGCAGGAGAAUUUGAACCGGCUUCAGGCCGCUGUUCGCUUGAAUGGGCUAGACGUCAACCCACAUAAGACCACAGUACUCUCUUUGGUUGCCUCUGGCAGAGACAAGAAGGUGAAGGUAGAUAAAACAGCCUGCUUCACCUUGGGUGCGACGCUGCUUAGGCAGUGUAGUCCUGUCGAGGCCUGGAGGUACUUGGGCAUGACUUAUAUAGG